UACGGAGGGGGUUAGCGUUGUUCGGAAUUACUGGGCGUAAAGCGCGCGUAGGCGGAUUGGAAAGUUGGGGGUGAAAUCCCCGGGGCUCAACCCCCGGAACUGCCUCCAAAACUUCCAGUCUGGAGUUCGAGAGAGGUGAGUGGAAUUCCGAGUGUAGAGGUGAAAUUCGUAGAUAUUCGGUGGAACACCAGUGGCGAAGGCGGCUAACUGGACUGGUACUGACGCUGAGGUGCGAAAGUGUGGGGAGCAAACAGGAUUAGAUACCCCCGUAGU
rnacentral:rRNA from 1 species